UUGAACGCUGGCGGCAGGCCUAACACAUGCAAGUCGAGCGGAUGAAGGGAGCUUGCUCCUGGAUUCAGCGGCGGACGGGUGAGUAAUGCCUAGGAAUCUGCCUGGUAGUGGGGGAUAACGUCCGGAAACGGGCGCUAAUACCGCAUACGUCCUGAGGGAGAAAGUGGGGGAUCUUCGGACCUCACGCUAUCAGAUGAGCCUAGGUCGGAUUAGCUAGUUGGUGGGGUAAAGGCCUACCAAGGCGACGAUACGUAACUGGUCUGAGAGGAUGAUCAGUCACACUGGAACUGAGACACGGUCCAGACUCCUACGGGAGGCAGCAGUGGGGAAUAUUGGACAAUGGGCGAAAGCCUGAUCCAGCCAUGCCGCGUGUGUGAAGAAGGUCUUCGGAUUGUAAAGCACUUUAAGUUGGGAGGAAGGGCAGUAAGUUAAUACCUUGCUGUUUUGACGUUACCAACAGAAUAAGCACCGGCUAACUUCGUG
rnacentral:rRNA from 1 species